GCAUAUCAAUAAGCGGAGGAAAAGAAACCAACAGGGAUUGCCUCAGUAACGGCGAGUGAAGCGGCAACAGCUCAAAUUUGAAACCUGCCAACCGGCCGGAUUGUAAUUUGUAGAGGAUGCUUUGGGGUUGGCUCUGAUCUAAGUUUCUUGGAACAGAACGUCACAGAGGGUGAGAAUCCCGUACGUGGUCGGUUGCCUUCUCUAUGUAAAGCUCCUUCGACGAGUCGAGUUGUUUGGGAAUGCAGCUCAAAAUGGGUGGUAAAUUUCAUCUAAAGCUAAAUAUUGGCCAGAGACCGAUAGCGCACAAGUAGAGUGAUCGAAAGAUGAAAAGCACUUUGGAAAGAGAGUUAAACAGCACGUGAAAUUGUUGAAAGGGAAGCGCUUGCAAUCAGACUUGCACGUAGGUAAUCACGAGUGGUUCGCUGCUCUGCACUUGCCUACGUUCAGGCCAGCAUCAGUUCUAGGGGUGGGAUAAAGGCCGUUGGAAUGUGGCUCUUCGGAGUGUUAUAGCCUUCGGUGCCAUGCCGCCUCCCGGGACUGAGGACCGCGCUUCGGCUAGGAUGCUGGCGUAAUGAUUGUAAGCGACCCGUCUUGAAACACGGACCAAGGAGUCUAACAUCUAUGCGAGUGUUUGGGUGAAAAACCCACACGCGGAAUGAAAGUGAACGGAGGUGAGAGCCCUUAAGGGUGCAUCAUCGACCGAUCCUGAUGUCUUCGGAUGGAUUUGAGUAUGAGCAUAGCUGUUGGGACCCGAAAGAUGGUGAACUAUGCCUGAAUAGGGUGAAGCCAGAGGAAACUCUGGUGGAGGCUCGCAGCGGUUCUGACGUGCAAAUCGAUCGUCAAAUUUGGGUAUAGGGGCGAAAGACUAAUCGAACCAUCUAGUAGCUGGUCUGC
rnacentral:rRNA from 1 species